GACGAACGCUGGCGGCGUGCUUAACACAUGCAAGUCGUACGGUAAGGCCCUUUCGGGGGUACACGAGUGGCGAACGGGUGCGUAACACGUGCGUAACCUGCCCACAACUUUGGGAUAACGCUAGGAAACUGGUGCUAAUACUGGAUAUGUGCUCCUUCUGCAUGGUGGGGGUUGGAAAGCUCCGGCGGUUGUGGAUGGACUGGCGGCCUAUCAGCUUGUUGGUGGGGUAGUGGCCUACCAAGGCGGCGACGGGUAGCCGGCCUGAGAGGGUGACCGGCCACAUUGGGACUGAGAUACGGCCCAGACUCCGACGGGAGGCAGAAGUGGGGAAUAUUGAACAAUGGGCGCAAGCCUGAUGCAGCAACGCCGCGGGCGGGAUGACGGCCUUCGGGUUGUAAACCGCGUUCAGCAGGGACGAAGCUUUUUGUGACGGUACCUGCAGAAGAAGCACCGGCUAACUACGUG
rnacentral:rRNA from 1 species